rnacentral:rRNA from 1 species
AUAUUGGUCAAUGGGCGUAAGCCUGAACCAGCCAAGUCGCGUGAGGGAUGAAGGUUCUAUGGAUCGUAAACCUCUUUUAUAAGGGAAUAAAGUGUGGGACGUGUCCUGUUUUGUAUGUACCUUAUGAAUAAGGAUCGGCUAACUCCGUGCCAGCAGCCGCGGUAAUACGGAGGAUCCGAGCGUUAUCCGGAUUUAUUGGGUUUAAAGGGAGCGUAGGUGGACAGUUAAGUCAGUUGUGAAAGUUUGCGGCUCAACCGUAAAAUUGCAGUUGAUACUGGUUUCCUUGAGUGCAGUUGAGGCAGGCGGAAUUCGUGGUGUAGCGGUGAAAUGCUUAGAUAUCACGAAGAACUCCGAUUGCGAAGGCAGCUCACUGGACUGCAACUGACACUGAUGCUCGAAAGUGUGGGUAUCAAACAGGAUUAGAUACCCUGGUAGUCCACACGGUAAACGAUGAAUACUCGCUGUUUGCGAUAUACAGUAAGCGGCCAAGCGAAAGCAUUAAGUAUUCCACCUGGGGAGUACGCCGGCAACGGUGAAACUCAAAGGAAUUGACGGGGGCCCGCACAAGCGGAGGAACAUGUGGUUUAAUUCGAUGAUACGCGAGGAACCUUACCCGGGCUUGAAUUGCAGAGGAAGGAUUUGGAGACAAUGACGCCCUUCGGGGUCUCUGUGAAGGUGCUGCAUGGUUGUCGUCAGCUCGUGCCGUGAGGUGUCGGCUUAAGUGCCAUAACGAGCGCAACCCUUAUCGAUAGUUACCAUCAGGUUAUGCUGGGGACUCUGUCGAGACUGCCGUCGUAAGAUGUGAGGAAGGUGGGGAUGACGUCAAAUCAGCACGGCCCUUACGUCCGGGGCUACACACGUGUUACAAUGGGGGGUACAGAGGGCCGCUACCACGCGAGUGGAUGCCAAUCCCCAAAACCUCUCUCAGUUCGGACUGGAGUCUGCAACCCGACUCCACGAAGCUGGAUUCGCUAGUAAUCGCGCAUCAGCCAUGGCGCGGUGAAUACGUUCCCGGGCCUUGUACACACCGCCCGUCAAGCCAUGAAAGCCGGGGGUACCUGAAGUGCGUAACCGCGAGGAGCGCCCUAGGGUAAAACUGGUGACUGGGGCUAAGUCGUAACAAGGUAGCCGUACCGGAAGGUGCGGCUG